AGGUGUUUGGAUGCGCGCCUUGUCCCGCCGUGGCUCACAAGCAGUUGACGUAUUUCGGGCGUCAUUUUGAGAAUUUUUCCCCUUUGUAAGGCAUUACAACCGGUGAUGGGAGGAGAGCGAAAUGUGCAGUCGGUGUUACCUCCCGCGCUGUGAGCAACGGCUGGUGCGACGCAGCUGGCAUAGGCAUUUGUCAGCAGGUGGCCAGAACGGAAUCUUACCGAAGUUGGAUGGGAUUAGUUUUCACGCAUGAAACGCAAGCUGGACAGGACAUCGCGAAUCACCUACGAAGCACAGAAGACCAUGAUGGUUGAGUGCUUCAAGACCUUCUGUUUUGUUCGUCGACGCUGUACGGACGUUGGGGACACAUCACUAUGAAGUUACUGA